GACUGGAGGCGCGCGACGCGGGCGCAAUGGCGGGGACCCGGGGCUUGAUGCUGCUUGGGCCUGGCCCAGUGGCGGGUCCUAGGGACGUGGGUACCUGCAGAGGCCGGCAGAUGGAGAUUCAGAAACAUAAGGACAACAAGAAACUUCCCCAAGGUAUCAUUAUAGUCUUUAGACUUCAGACACACACCACACCUCAAAUAUAUACACAACUGAAAGGAAAAUUAAGGAAGUUUUUCAAAGAACCCUAUUCCGAGUAAGAAGUGUGUUGCAUGAAUUUCUAAGAAAUGUAUUUCUCACAAGUCUGGAGAUGGGAAGUCAAAGACCAAAGUACCAGCAGAAUGGUUGUCUAGUGAGGGCCCUCUUCCUCCUAGAUGACAGUCUUUGCACUGUGUCC
rnacentral:lncRNA from 10 species